GGGACCAGUAAGGCGGAGGUUGUGGGUGGGAUGGUCCCGGCCACUCGCUGGCCUGACUCUGGGAGAGGAGGCUCUGGCUUCCCUUGCCACGCUUCCCUGCUCUGCAAGGAACUCCAUAGUGGUGAACGCCCCCUUCUGCCACAACAGCAAAGCUGAAAACCUUUGUGUCAUUUUUACUCUUGUCAAUGCACUGCAACCUGUUUGGAAUGGAAAAGUUUGCAAAGGUCACUUAUUUUCAUAACAGGUGAGGAAGCCGUGGAUGAGGUGGUAGGAACGUGCCUGCCAAAUCACAGAAUCACAGGAUGGUUGGAAUGAGAAGAGACCUCUGGAGAUCCUCCAGUCCAACUCACCUGCUAAAGCAGAGUCACCAAGAGCAGAUCACACAGGAUCGCGUCCAGCAAAGCAAAGCCAGAAGGGGACCCAAGAGGAGCCCAGGAGCUGUGAACCCAUCACGUGCUGGGUGUCCCUUGAGCAGUGGAUGCUGUGUGUGUGGGUGCUGGCUCAGCCUGGGACCCUGCACCAGGCAAGAAGCAUCUCGCUGUCUGGUCAUGGUGACAACAAUGGAGGCAGAUAAAAGAUGUCAUGACGUUUUCUGUCUCCUGAUAUUUGGUCAGGAGUGUCCAGGAGAGAAAUAGGCUCUAGAAGUAUUUUGAGGGGGGCCUUUCUAGAUCCUAGCACUUGUAUCAUUGUCAAGAGUAAGAGUAAAAUUCAGAAAAGAAAAGAUGGCAAAGGAAACAAAAAAACAUUUUCUACAUUGCAUUGCUUGUAGCUUGCUAGAGCUCCUCCCUCUUUAUCUCUUUAUCAAGAAAUCUAGGUUGCAUGCAUUUUUUUUUAAAUGUUGCUUUCAUCUACUAGCAAGAAAACUUGGGAGUAACGUUGUCUUAUCUUUUUUUUUUUUAAUUAAUUAGAAAAUAUAUAACCAAGCAGUAUAAAACAGCCAAGAAUGUCAUCUCUCAAAUAUCACAGACUUUAAUAAAAAUAGGAGUGUCAUCAUUCAUGACCAUGCGAUGUUUACAGCUGCUGCUUCUAAAGUGCAUUGUGUUUCAGCAUCCACCUUGGCUUGUCUUCAUUCUUGCUUUAACCUCAGUGACUUUGGCACAGUUAUUUCAGUGUUGAACUUCGCCCAUUUUAUCUUCUGCAGAAUAUGAAGUCCGCUGCUUUCUUAUCAAAUAUGAAUCUGUGCACAACUGGGCAACAUAAUGCUAAUGGAAUCGAUACAGCAAAAAAGAUCUCACAACCCCUCUGUACUUUUUACAAUUUACUUUGUUCGUCACCCAUUAAUUCUUAUAUUGAUUUUGCUAUAAAAUACAACUGCAUUCCUAUCACAGCCCAAGAAAAAAGCACAUUGAUUAUAUUGGAACAAGGUAUGUUGUAAAAAUGAAAUGCCUAAAACAUUUAAAUGUAGUAAGCUCUGCUAAAGUACAUAAAUCACAUUGUUUAAUGUUGUAAAUGAGUGGUGCUGGCUUAAACAAGGGAAAAAUAUGGUGCCAUAAAGCAAUUUUGACACAAAAUAACAGUCUCUGUUUCUCUGUACCUGUCAUUUUAGAAAUGCUAUCAAGAAUGGUUACGGUUGUUUGCAAGUGGGAGGGGGGAAAUGUUCUCAGUAUCCCUUUUAAAAAGUUCCUUCAAAGUCACUUUGUGAAAUUGACAACAGUGGUGUUAUACCUCGCUAUAAAUAAAACCUGAUUAUUACUGUG